rnacentral:rRNA from 1 species
GACGUAGGAGGCGAGCGUUGUCCGGAGUUACUGGGCGUAAAGCGCGCGCAGGCGGUCACGCAGGUCAUCUGUGAAAGCACUCGGCUCAACCUGGAGUCGCCAUCCGAUACUGCUAUGACUUGAGUCUGGUAGGGGAUCACGGAAUUCCUGGUGUAGCGGUGAAAUGCAUAGAUAUCAGGAGGAACACCGGUGGCGAAGGCGGUGAUCUGGGCCAGUACUGACGCUGAGGAGCGAAAGCGUGGGGAGCGAACAGG